GAGGGCGCGGGCGCGCGGGGAGCUCAGUCCCCUGGCGUGGGCACAGGCAAGAAAAACCUGGCAGCCCUCUACCCUCUUUUCAGUGCAUUUGGGGCCUGGCUGGAAGGCCCCUCCGAGGUAGACCCUGAGAGUACCCUCCCCUUGGGAACAUCACGGAUCUGCGCCGCCUCCACCAGGCUGGCCUCAGGGGCUGCUCCCUCGAGUACCCUGGCCCUGCUGGACCGUGGCUGGGGAUGGCAGCAAGGAGAUGGACAUGGCACUCCCAGAGCCGUGGCUGCUGCAGGUGCUCAAAGGGCUGCUGCGAGAACAGAGGGAGAGCUCUCCAAACCCCAGCACGGUUCUCAGUCAUCAUGAGACCGGAACACAGAGGCCCACACACGACCGCUGGACAUGUUUAAGAAAAUGCCAAUGUAUUUCCACUAGAAAAAUCCUCUUUUCCUAAAUACAUGUCUCUAUGUUGAAUAAGUUAAAAUAGCAUCUCC
rnacentral:lncRNA from 1 species